GUGAUUGCUUUGACAACAUAUAUAAUGAAAUUGGGAUCAUACAUGAUUAGCACGGCCCCUGUGCAAAGAUAGUAUGGGAAUUUGUGAAAGUGUCCAUAUGUUU
ensembl:snRNA U6 U6 spliceosomal RNA